rnacentral:rRNA from 1 species
GACGAACGCUGGCGGCGUGCUUAACACAUGCAAGUCGAACGGAAAGGCCCUGCUUUUGUGGGGUGCUCGUGUGGCGCACGGGUGAGUAACACGUGAGUAACCUGCCCUUGACUUUGGGAUAAAUUCAGGAAACUGGGGCUAAUACCGGAUAGGAGCUCCUGCUGCAUGGUGGGGGUUGGUAAGUUUCGGCGGUUGGGGAUGGACUCGCGGCUUAUCCGCUUGUUGGUGGGGUAGUGGCUUACCAAGGCUUUGACGGGUAGCCGGCCUGAGAGGUUGACCGGCCACAUGGGGACUGAGAUACGGCCCAGACGCCUACGGGAGGCAGCAGUGGGGAAUAUUGCACAAUGGGCGGAAGCCUGAUGCAGCAACGCCGCGUGCGGGAUGACGGCCUUCGGGUUGUAAACCGCUUUCGCCUGUGACGAAGCGUGAGUGACGGUAAUGGGUAAAGAAGCACCGGCUAACUACGUG